rnacentral:rRNA from 1 species
GACGAACGCUGGCGGCGUGCUUAACACAUGCAAGUCGAACGGAAAGGCCCUGCUUUUGUGGGGUGCUCGAGUGGCGAACGGGUGAGUACCACGUGAGUAACCUGCCCUUGACUUUGGGAUAACUUCAGGAAACUGGGGCUAAUACCGGAUAGGAGCUCCUGCUGCAUGGUGGGGGUUGGAAAGUUUCGGCGGUUGGGGAUGGACUCGCGGCUUAUCAGCUUGUUGGUGGGGUAGUGGCUUACCAAGGCUUUGACGGGUAGCCGGCCUGAGAGGGUGAUCGGCCACAUUGGGACUGAGAUACGGCCCAGACUCCUACGGGAGGCAGCAGUGGGGAAUAUUGCACAAUGGGCGGAAGCCUGAUGCAGCAACGCCGCGUGCGGGAUGACGGCCUUCGGGUUGUAAACCGCUUUCGCCUGUGACGAAGCGUGAGUGACGGUAAUGGGUAAAGAAGCACCGGCUAACUACGUG